AGCCCGUUUUAUAUUUUACUUUACCGAGGAUAAGCUCAGUAAAACACUAAAAAGGAAGUACUUUACCUAAAUCAAUUACGUAGGCCUGAAAUUAGCCAUUGUCUUAGAACUUGUUAUAAAACAAUUUGAAUAUUUAGAAAGAUAGCUAUACUUAACCUUACUUUAGAUAGGGGUAACACGGAAAACUAUUAACUUGAUCUAUUUAUGCUAGAAUGAGUAUUAAAAUACCUAAUUUAACAGGUUAAACCAAAAUAAAAUAUCUGUGAAUAUAGUUUUUCUAGAAAAUAAAAUAAAAAUAAGGAACUCGGCAAACUUUAGCUCCGCCUGUUUACCAAAAACAUGGCUCUUUGAGCCCCUAACAUAGAGAGUCGAACCUGCCCAGUGAAAUUUUAACGGCCGCGGUACUCUGACCGUGCAAAGGUAGCGUAAUCAUUUGCCUUAUAAUUGAAGGCCUGUAUGAAUGGUUUGACGGGAGCAUUACUGUCUCUUUUUUACUAAGUAGAAUUUGACCUUUAGGUGAAGAGGCCUAAAUAUAAUUGAAAGACAAGAAGACCCUGUCGAGCUUAAAAAAGAAUUAGGAUAAACUAUAGCACUUAAAUUAACUACUAAUUAACUUUUUUGGUUGGGGCGACCGGGGAACAAGUAAAACUUCCUUUUUUUCCUUAACUAAUAAGUAAUGAUCCAGUAUAGCUGACUGGAAGAAUUAGUUACCGCAGGGAUAACAGCAUAAUCUCUCCCGAGAGACCUAAUCGAAGGAGGGGGUUGUGACCUCGAUGUUGGACUAGAGUAUCCUAAAGGUGCAGAAAUCU
rnacentral:rRNA from 1 species